rnacentral:rRNA from 1 species
UGGGGAAUAUUGCGCAAUGGGGGCAACCCUGACGCAGCAAUACCGCGUGAGUGAAGAAGGUUUUCGGAUCGUAAAGCUCUGUUAUUGGGGAAGAAGCAGUGACGGUACCCAAUGAGGAAGUCCCGGCUAACUACGUGCCAGCAGCCGCGGUAAUACGUAGGGGACGAGCGUUGUCCGGAAUCACUGGGCGUAAAGGGCGCGUAGGCGGUUUUAUAAGUCAGAUGUGAAAGGUACCGGCUCAACCGGUGACGUGCAUUUGAAACUGUAAGACUUGAGUACUGAAGAGGCAAGCGGAAUUCCUAGUGUAGCGGUGAAAUGCGUAGAUAUUAGGAAGAACACCGGUGGCGAAGGCGGCUUGCUGGGCAGAUACUGACGCUGAGGUGCGAAAGCGUGGGUAGCAAACAGGAUUAGAUACCCUGGUAGUCCACGCUGUAAACGAUGAUUACUAGGUGUUGGGGGUCGAACCUCAGCGCCCAAGCAAACGCGAUAAGUAAUCCGCCUGGGGAGUACGUACGCAAGUAUG